CCGCACAGUAUUUCCAGGCACCUCCGUUUCUUGUGCGCCGGCGAUGCUGAUACAAGACAAGUACUACAACCAAGACAUGCCAUCACGAGGUCGUUUUACCACAACUACGCAUGGCUCUUGAGGUUGCUUGGGCUGACGGCCCUCGACUUAUCUGGGGAGACACCAUCAGCCCUAAUGACGACCAAAUCCAGUAGGGCUGGCCGGAUAUUGCUUGUGCAGCCCGAGUAUAUCUUUAGGAUGUCGUAACCCGUCCCAGAUCGCUGGCAUGCGUACGAAGCCUCGCCAAUUCGCAGUUAUCGACCCGUUCGUGGACCACUUGACACUGCAGAUAUUACACUGGUGCUCGGCCCGCCGCCAGUGUCCUUUUUCUGGAAUUUGCGCAACAAACCUGACAUGGACAAGUGUUACCAACAAGGCCUCCAAAACCGUAUUGGGUUAUGGGCGAUGGUAACUGGCCGUUCCACAGGAGUCUUGGUGACUCGCCGCCCGCUCUCGCUUUUGCAACUUGCCUGCUGGGCGACAGUUCGAAAGACUCCCACGUCAUCUAUCUGGUUCGAGAUAUCUCAGCCACCAUAUAUUUGGCUCGUCAUGUGGACGAGCUUGUCCUCCAUGGCCCCGGACUUGUCUUGAAGCCACCAUGAACAACAAGUUCUUCAGCGGCCAUAGAAGGCCAAGACACUUCUCUUCUCCCCAGUUUACCCCUCUGUCUCGGGCUGGGAUGUCUCAUCCUCAGGACUCAAUUGUGUGUUGGUAUUGAUAUCUCUCCUGUCAAUGGCGCAGCCCUGUGUUGCCGUUUAAUUUGGAUUUCAUUCACUUGACCUCCUCACCGUUGUGGCACGACAUUGGGUCAACUUGCUUGUGUCACUGGUCUGACGCGACACUGCCACGAGAGAAAAGAGGGAGCCAGAGUGUUGAGAAUACAUGGCCCUCCAUCCCUUCAACUC